rnacentral:rRNA from 1 species
UACGGAGGAUGCGAGCGUUAUCCGGAUUUAUUGGGUUUAAAGGGUACGUAGGCGGCUUUUUAAGUCAGCGGUGAAAUUUUGCAGCUUAACUGUAACAGUGCCGUUGAUACUGGGGAGCUAGGAUUUGGUUGCUGUGGGUGGAAUGUGUGGUGUAGCGGUGAAAUGCUUAGAGAUCACACAGAAUAUCGAUUGCGAAGGCAGCUCACAAAGCCAAGAUUGACGCUGAGGCACGAAAGUGUGGGGAUCAAACAGGAUUAGA